GAAAAAUUGGAGAUGGCUGGAGACAAAAUGAAUGUGUGGAAGACGAUGUCACAUGAAAAACAACACAAAUCCACGCUGGAAGCUGACCUUCCUGGGAAUCUGUCCUUAAUCCACCUCCAGGAUGAGAACUCAAUCUUCUUGGUCCUUGAUUUGGACUCUUUCAGGAGUGUUGUCCCAUCCUAGGACACAGAGCCCCGUGGAUAAAGAUCUGUUGUGUGUGGUGUCAGCACAAGACAUUUUUCUAGAUGCACCGGGUGGAAUGGGACCCAGCAUAACGCUGUACCGACAACCUCCGCAGAGCUCCAGGGCUUGGCACGAGUGAGUCAUGCCUCACUCGUAUUAUACACACGAAGUGUGGGCCUCUGUGGAUCUGUGUGGACCUCUGGACCAUCAGAGGCUCAAGGACAUGGAUGACAGAGAACAUGGCCUCAGGACUACUGUUGGUAGCCAGAAGAGAGAAGGAAAGAAUCUGGACACUGCCUCACUUAAAUAGCUCCUGUGGAGGCAUCUCUCAAGGUGUUGUGGAGCCACUGAACUCUAAAAUCUGUAUUUUAAGAAAGAUUAUUCAGUGAGCAGCAUUUUUAAAUAAUGCAUUUGUAUUCAAAUUCUACUGUGUCAAAAGUAAAUGUUUUAAGAGUCCAGCUAGUAAAGCUCGUUUAUCCACAAGCUUGGUGUCUGCAGCAAGGGAGCUGUC